GAUGAACGCUGGCGGCGUGCCUAAUACAUGCAAGUCGAGCGAACGGACGAGAAGCUUGCUUUUCUGAUGUUAGCGGCGGACGGGUGAGUAACACGUGGAUAACCUACCUAUAAGACUGGGAUAACUUCGGGAAACCGGGGCUAAUACCGGAUAAUAUUUUGAACCGCAUGGUUCAAAAGUGAAAGACGGUCUUGCUGUCACUUAUAGAUGGAUCCGCGCUGCAUUAGCUAGUUGGUAAGGUAACGGCUUACCAAGGCAACGAUGCAUAGCCGACCUGAGAGGGUGAUCGGCCACACUGGAACUGAGACACGGUCCAGACUCCUACGGGAGGCAGCAGUAGGGAAUCUUCCGCAAUGGGCGAAAGCCUGACGGAGCAACGCCGCGUGAGUGAUGAAGGUCUUCGGAUCGUAAAACUCUGUUAUUAGGGAAGAACAUAUGUGUAAGUAACUGUGCACAUCUUGACGGUACCUAAUCAGAAAGCCACGGCUAACUACGUGCCAGCAGCCGCGGUAAUACGUAGGUGGCAAGCGUUAUCCGGAAUUAUUGGGCGUAAAGCGCGCGUAGGCGGUUUUUUAAGUCUGAUGUGAAAGCCCACGGCUCAACCGUGGAGGGUCAUUGGAAACUGGAAAACUUGAGUGCAGAAGAGGAAAGUGGAAUUCCAUGUGUAGCGGUGAAAUGCGCAGAGAUGUGGAGGAACACCAGUGGCGAAGGCGACUUUCUGGUCUGUAACUGACGCUGAUGUGCGAAAGCGUGGGGAUCAAACAGGAUUAGAUACCCUGGUAGUCCACGCCGUAAACGAUGAGUGCUAAGUGUUAGGGGGUUUCCGCCCCUUAGUGCUGCAGCUAACGCAUUAAGCACUCCGCCUGGGGAGUACGACCGCAAGGUUGAAACUCAAAGGAAUUGACGGGGGCCCGCACAAGCGGUGGAGCAUGUGGUUUAAUUCGAAGCAACGCGAAGAACCUUACCAAAUCUUGACAUCCUUUGACAACUCUAGAGAUAGAGCCUUCCCCUUCGGGGGACAAAGUGACAGGUGGUGCAUGGUUGUCGUCAGCUCGUGUCGUGAGAUGUUGGGUUAAGUCCCGCAACGAGCGCAACCCUUAAGCUUAGUUGCCAUCAUUAAGUUGGGCACUCUAAGUUGACUGCCGGUGACAAACCGGAGGAAGGUGGGGAUGACGUCAAAUCAUCAUGCCCCUUAUGAUUUGGGCUACACACGUGCUACAAUGGACAAUACAAAGGGCAGCGAAACCGCGAGGUCAAGCAAAUCCCAUAAAGUUGUUCUCAGUUCGGAUUGUAGUCUGCAACUCGACUACAUGAAGCUGGAAUCGCUAGUAAUCGUAGAUCAGCAUGCUACGGUGAAUACGUUCCCGGGUCU
rnacentral:rRNA from 1 species